AGAGGAGGGGCCGGGCAGGAGGACACUGGAUCUCUUGGUGGCAUUGGGCAAGCCCUCUAUGAGCGGCCACUUACAAAGGGCGCUCCUUCUGCUAGGCAUCGAUCGAGCUGUUCUUCAAGCUGCUACUUUUGCCUGGCAAACUCCUCAGAACCUGAUUUAAAUCUUAAAACGGGGUGGGGGCUUUUCUUACUGUUUGCAGCCUAUGGAAUACUGAUUCUCCUCUGGACCCUAACACCUGGCACCUGCCUGACACGGAGGGAUGCGUGAGACUCUUUACACAUUCGGGGCACUCCUGGGAGCAGACCUGAGACCGUCCCUUCUGACAGUGGGAAUACUCAGAUGGACUGUGGAUGCAGCUCCGUGGAAGACUGCCUGCCUGGUACAUGUGAGGUCUGGGGCUCAAUGUUCAGCACAGAACAAACAAACAAGGCACUGUAGGGACUGCUGCAUCUCCCCUGUAUCUCAGCUAGUUUCUUCCCAGCCACUGUUCUGGCCUCCACCUGCUGAAGGCCCCUGAAUAGAGAGACCCAGUCAAGCACCUAACUGUGGAGUGCCUGGAUGUGAGGGUGGGUCUGGUCCCUGGCCCCAGUAAUGGCUGGGGGUAAUGGUGCCCCUCUGCAUGGUUCCCACAGCACAGGGGAAGCCUCUCAGGUCUAUUGAGGGCCUGUGAGUUCCCCAGCCUGACCAUCCCGCUGCAGGCCCGAGGGAACUGGAACAGGAGGUCAGGACACUGCCCUGGAUCCAUGGAAGGUCUCCCUGACAUGUGAAGCUCACCCAGAGACUGCUGCAGCCAGGGCAGCAUCUCUGUCUCUUCCUUUAGCCUGGAGACAGGACUUGCAGGCUCAGGCCUCAAAGCACAGCCCGGCUCUUCAUGCUCAGUCGCAAGCUGCCCUCCUCCCAG
rnacentral:lncRNA from 1 species